CAUUCUGAGCAAACAUCUCCAUGUACCACCUGAUGGUCAAAUUUUUGAUUCGAUAUGGGGUUGGCGAAAUUCAAGGAGACCAAAUGCUUGCUUGGCAAUGCUUCCUCAUCACAAUCAAAGGCAAGAAAUCGGUGGAGGCCCUAUUGUUAGAAGACCAUAGAGAGAAAGCAAAAGGAUCCCAAGGAGAACCAGUCGAGGAGCUCAUCAUGAUCCCUUUCAGAGAUGAUCUGACC
rnacentral:lncRNA from 1 species